rnacentral:rRNA from 1 species
UACAGAGGUCCCAAGCGUUGUUCGGAUUCACUGGGCGUAAAGGGUGCGUAGGUGGUGAGGUAAGUCGGAUGUGAAAUCUCCGAGCUCAACUCGGAAAUGGCAUUGGAAACUACCUUGCUAGAGGGUUGGAGGGGGAACUGGAAUACUUGGUGUAGCAGUGAAAUGCGUAGAUAUCAAGUGGAACACCAGUGGCGAAGGCGAGUCCCUGGACAACUCCUGACACUGAGGCACGAAAGCUAGGGGAGCAAACAGG